rnacentral:rRNA from 1 species
CGGCCUUCUGGACUGACACUGACACUGAGGUGCGAAAGCGUGGGUAGCAAACAGGAUUAGAUACCCUGGUAGUCCACGCCGUAAACGAUGUCGACCAGCCGUUGGGUGCCUAGCGCACUUUGUGGCGAAGUUAACGCGAUAAGUCGACCGCCUGGGGAGUACGGCCGCAAGGUUAAAACUCAAAUGAAUUGACGGGGGCCCGCACAAGCGGUGGAGCAUGUGGUUUAAUUCGAUGCAACGCGAAGAACCUUACCUACUCUUGACAUCCUGCGAACUUGUGAGAGAUCACUUGGUGCCUUCGGGAGCGCAGAGACAGGUGCUGCAUGGCUGUCGUCAGCUCGUGUUGUGAAAUGUUGGGUUAAGUCCCGUAACGAGCGCAACCCUUGUCCUUAUUUGCCAGCGGGUAAUGCCGGGAACUCUAAGGAGACUGCCGGUGACAAACCGGAGGAAGGUGGGGACGACGUCAAGUCAUCAUGGCCCUUACGAGUAGGGCUACACACGUGCUACAAUGGCCGGUACAAAGGGUUGCGAGCUCGCGAGAGUCAGCUAAUCCCGAAAAGCCGGUCUCAGUCCGGAUCGGAGUCUGCAACUCGACUCCGUGAAGUCGGAAUCGCUAGUAAUCGUGAAUCAGAAUGUCACGGUGAAUACGUUCCCGGGCCUUGCACACACCGCCCGU